UUAGGUUACUUUAACACUAGCGGCAGCCUUCUCCGGCAGGGGAACAGCCUGUCGGAUCCAUGCUACAGCUAGUGCACCGCCCCUGAAGUCCGCUCCAGCCCUAUUCACUACAAUGGGUACAUGUCAUAAUUUU